GCCUAUACAUGCAAGUCGAGGGUGAUUAUCGGAUUCGUCUGAUAUGAAACCGGCGCACGGGUGCGUAACACGUAUGCAACCUACCUUUAACUGGGGUAUAGCUCAGAGAAAUCUGAAUUAAUCCCCCAUAACACUACGACAUGGCAUCAUGAUGUAGUUAAAGCUCCGGCGGUUAAGGAUGGGCAUGCGGUACAUUAGCUAGUUGGUGAGGUAAUGGCUCACCAAGGCUACGAUGUAUAGGGGGUCUGAGAGGAUGAUCCCCCACACUGGUACUGAGACACGGACCAGACUCCUACGGGAGGCAGCAGUAGAGAAUAUUGGUCAAUGGACGAAAGUCUGAACCAGCCAUGCCGCGUGAAGGAUGAAGGCCCUCUGGGUCGUAAACUUCUUUUAUUAGGGAAGAAACCUCAGGAUGCGUCCUGAGCUGACGGUACUUAAUGAAUAAGGAUCGGCUAACUUCGUGCCAGCAGCCGCGGUAAGACGAAGGAUCCAAGCGUUGUCCGGAUUUACUGGGUUUAAAGGGUGCGUAGGCGGAAAAUUAAGUCAGUGGUGAAAGCCCGCAGCUCAACUGUGGAACUGCCAUUGAAACUGGUUUUCUUGAAUAUAGCUGAGGCAGAUGGAAUAUAACAUGUAGCGGUGAAAUGCUUAGAUAUGUUAUAGAACACCGAUUGCGAAGGCAGUCUGCUAAACUAUUAUUGACGCUGAGGCACGAAAGCGUGGGGAGCGAACAGGAUUAGAUACCCUGGUAGUCCACGCCCUAAACGUUGAUUACUCGCUGUUGGCGAUAUACUGUCAGUGGCUAAGCGAAAGCAUUAAGUAAUCCACCUGGGAAGUACGACCGCAAGGUUGAAACUCAAAGGAAUUGACGGGGGCCCGCACAAGCGGAGGAGCAUGUGGUUUAAUUCGAUGAUACGCGAGAAACCUUACCUGGGCUUAAAUGUCAGGUGACCGCUGCCGAAAG
rnacentral:rRNA from 1 species